GCCUUCCUAGCUCAGUGGUAGAGCGCGUCACUAGUAAUGACGAGGUCGUCAGUGAGUAACACCCCCAUUCGAAGCACGUAGGAGACGACGACGCUGACGUGCCGUGGAGGUUCAAUUCUGGCGGAAGGCA